AAGCGCCGUCUAGAACGUCGCGUCACAAGGGGCUUGGAGAGCGAUCCCUUCGCCGCGCUGUCUGCCUAUUCUCUUUAUUCCCGCUCCACUCGCCGCGCUCGCUGGCAGCCAUGAAUGAAAUGUAACAUGCUAAAUGACUGACAUCCAUUAAAACUCCUCGACAAACCUAGGGCCGUGUUUUGAAAGGCCCCGGGAAGAAAAAGGACUGUGUGCUCUUUGAAUCCUGGCCUGCUGAACGGCUGCCAAGCGAGGACUGCUCCAUUCAAAGGGCUGCGUGAAUAAAUGAGAAAAACAUCCUUGGGGACCGGGAGGAUCAGCUUUCUCCGAAAAUGCUCAGCUUCACAAAGGGUCAGAGUCACAAGGUAUGGAAAUGCGUUCAUGACAUUCAAGUCAGAAAAAAUGCAGGCUAUACACAUACCAGCUGUGAAAAGCCAUAUGUGAAUGCCAGUGUACAUCUCAGGAAAAGUCAAGUUCUCUAGUCAGCACAACAUUAUUGGUAUUACAGUGGCUUUUUAAGAAAUAAAAAUUGUAUGUAAACGC